CCUACGGGAGGCAGCAGUGAGGAAUAUUGGUCAAUGGGCGCGAGCCUGAACCAGCCAAGUAGCGUGAAGGAUGACUGCCCUACGGGUUGUAAACUUCUUUUAUAAAGGAAUAAAGUGAGGCACGUGUGCCUUUUUGUAUGUACCAUAUGAAUAAGCAUCGGCUAACUCCGUGCCAGCAGCCGCGGUAAUACGGAGGAUGCGAGCGUUAUCCGGAUUUAUUGGGUUUAAAGGGUGCGUAGGUGGUUAAUUAAGUCAGCGGUGAAAGUUUGUGGCUCAACCAUAAAAUUGCCGUUGAAACUGGUUGACUUGAGUAUAUUUGAGGUAGGCGGAAUGCGUGGUGUAGCGGUGAAAUGCAUAGAUAUCACGCAGAACUCCGAUUGCGAAGGCAGCUUACUAAACUAUAACUGACACUGAAGCACGAAAGCGUGGGGAGCAAACAGGAUUAGAUACCCGGGUAGUC
rnacentral:rRNA from 1 species